rnacentral:rRNA from 1 species
UGGGGAAUUUUGGACAAUGGGCGAAAGCCUGAUCCAGCCAUGCCGCGUGAGUGAAGAAGGCCUUCGGGUUGUAAAGCUCUUUUAGUCGGAAAGAAAAGAUCAUAAUUAACAAUUAUGAUUCAUGACGGUACCGACAGAAAAAGCACCGGCUAACUACGUGCCAGCAGCCGCGGUAAUACGUAGGGUGCGAGCGUUAAUCGGAAUUACUGGGCGUAAAGGGUGCGCAGGCGGUUUUGUAAGUCAGAUGUGAAAUCCCCGGGCUUAACCUGGGAAUUGCGUUUGAAACUGCAAGACUAGAGUGCAGCAGAGGGGAGUGGAAUUCCAUGUGUAGCAGUGAAAUGCGUAGAGAUGUGGAAGAACACCGAUGGCGAAGGCAGCUCCCUGGGUUGACACUGACGCUCAUGCACGAAAGCGUGGGGAGCAAACA